rnacentral:pre_miRNA from 1 species
AUAUGAAUCACCUGCGGAUCUUGUUGAAAUGCAGAAUCGGUUUCAGUAGGUCCAGGAUGGGGUCUGGAGUCCUGCAUUUCUAACAAGUUCCCAGGUGAUGCUGAU